rnacentral:rRNA from 1 species
CGUAGGGGGCGAGCGUUGUCCGGAUUUACUGGGCGUAAAGCGCGUGUAGGCGGGAGAUUAAGAUGGGUGUGAAAGCCCGGGGCUCAACCCCGGGAUGCCGCCCAAGACUGGUCUCCUUGAGGACGGAAGAGGGGAGUGGAAUUCCUGGUGUAGCGGUGAAAUGCGUAGAGAUCAGGAGGAACACCCGUGGCGAAGGCGGCUCCCUGGUCCGUUUCUGACGCUGAGACGCGAAAGCGCGGGGAGCGAACGGGAUUAGAUACCCCGGUAGUCCGCGCCGUAAACGAUGGUCACUAGGUGUGCGAGGUAUCGACCCCUCGCGUGCCGCCGCUAACGCAGUAAGUGACCCGCCUGGGGAGUACGGCCGCAAGGUUG